GGAACACAGAUGUGGGGCUGGAAGUGGAGCAGCCCCUUUUAGCCAUGAGGCCCAAAGCCACAUGCUAAGGAUGGUGAAGCAGGGGAUAGAAAGAGCCUGUGUCUUUGCUGACUUCCUUAAGCCACGGCACCAGCCUGGGCCUGCCCUACUCUGGACAUCUAAAUGUCAGGAGCUAAGAAUCAAGUCAGUCUAGAGGUGUUCGUUGCCAUGUGGAGAGAUCCUUCCCAAGAAGAAAGAUGCUACAAAGUGUCCUGGAAAUCCUCUUUGCCCAUCCAGAUCCACCCUCCCUAGCCUGCUCUGUAACUCAGGAAGCUGCUUUUCAUGGUUCACAUAAACCAGGCUCCUGUACCCUCCAGAUAGGUCCAUCCUAUGGGUGGUACCAGCAGGAGACCAGAGAGAUGAAGGAGGGAAAAAAAGAACAUUAGGGGUUGAAUUGUAUCACCCCAAAAUUCAUAUGGUGAAGUAUAACCCCUUCGGAAUGUAACCUUAUUGGAAAUGUCAGAGGCACGUGAACCAGAGCAACUCCAUCUUGAAUAGGGGCUGGGUAAAAUGAGGCUGAGACCUAUUGGGCUGCAUUCCCAGACGGUUAAGGCAUUCCAAGUCACAGGAUGAGAUAGGAGGUUGGCACAACAUAUAGGUCAUAAAGACCUUGCUGAUGAAACAGUUGCAGUAAAGAAGCCAGCCAAAGCGCACCAAAACCAAGAUGGCGACAAGAGUGACCUCUGGGCAUCCUCACUGCUACACUCCCAGCAGCGCCAUGACAGUUUACAAAUGCCAUGGCAACAUCAGAAAGUUACCCUAUAUCAUCUAAACAUGGGAGGCAUGAAUAAUCCAACCCUUGCUUAGCAUAUACUCAAGAAAUAACCAUAAAAAUGGGCAGCCAGCAGCCCUCAGGGCUGCUCUGUUUAUGGAGUAGGCAUUCUUUUAUUCCUGUACUUUCC
rnacentral:lncRNA from 1 species